CUGGCGCUCAUUCUCGCUUUUGCUGCCCUGGGAAGUGGUGUCUUCUGCCAUGAUUGAAAGCCAUGAAGUAAGGUGAAUGCACAUGUUUAGGCUGAAAGGCAGUCUUCUGUCUGGUUCUCUACAGCUCUCCUCUCCCCCAUCCAGAGUCUGGAAUCUACGCUCCAGGAGUCGGCAGGGCCAUACUCCCUCUGAAGGCUGGAGGAGAACCCUUCCUGGCCUCUCCAGCUGCUGGCGGCUCCCGGCAGUCCUGGUGUUCCUUGGCUUGCAGAUGCAAUCCCUGUCUUUGUUGUCACAUGGCCUUCCCCAUGUGUUUGGGUCUCUGUGUCCAAA
rnacentral:lncRNA from 1 species